rnacentral:rRNA from 1 species
GAUGAACGCUGGCGGCGUGCUUAACACAUGCAAGUCGAACGGAAAGGCCCAAGCUUGCUUGGGUACUCGAGUGGCGAACGGGUGAGUAACACGUGGGUGAUCUGCCCUGCACUUCGGGAUAAGCCUGGGAAACUGGGUCUAAUACCGGAUAGGACCACUUCUUGGAUGUUGUGGUGGAAAGUUUUUCGGUGUGGGAUGAGCUCGCGGCCUAUCAGCUUGUUGGUGGGGUAAUGGCCUACCAAGGCGUCGACGGGUAGCCGGCCUGAGAGGGUGUACGGCCACAUUGGGACUGAGAUACGGCCCAGACGCCUACGGGAGGCAGCAGUGGGGAAUAUUGCACAAUGGGCGCAAGCCUGAUGCAGCGACGCCGCGUGGGGGAUGACGGCCUUCGGGUUGUAAACUCCUUUCGCUAGGGACGAAGCUUAUUUUGUGACGGUACCUGGAGAAGAAGCACCGGCUAACUACGUG